AGAGUUUGAUCCUGGCUCAGGAUGAACGCUGGCGGCGUGCUUAACACAUGCAAGUCGAACGAAGCACUCUAUUUGAUUUUCUUCGGAAAUGAAGAUUUUGUGACUGAGUGGCGGACGGGUGAGUAACGCGUGGGUAACCUGCCUCAUACAGGGGGAUAACAGUUGGAAACGACUGCUAAUACCGCAUAAGCGCACGGUAUCGCAUGGUACAGUGUGAAAAACUCCGGUGGUAUGAGAUGGACCCGCGUCUGAUUAGCCAGUUGGUGGGGUAACGGCCUACCAAAGCGACGAUCAGUAGCCGACCUGAGAGGGUGACCGGCCACAUUGGGACUGAGACACGGCCCAAACUCCUACGGGAGGCAGCAGUGGGGAAUAUUGCACAAUGGGGGAAACCCUGAUGCAGCGACGCCGCGUGAACGAAGAAGUAUUUCGGUAUGUAAAGUUCUAUCAGCAGGGAAGAUAAUGACGGUACCUGACUAAGAAGCACCGGCUAAAUACGUGCCAGCAGCCGCGGUAAUACGUAUGGUGCAAGCGUUAUCCGGAUUUACUGGGUGUAAAGGGAGCGCAGGCGGUGCGGCAAGUCUGAUGUGAAAGCCCGGGGCUCAACCCCGGUACUGCAUUGGAAACUGUCGUACUAGAGUGUCGGAGGGGUAAGUGGAAUUCCUAGUGUAGCGGUGAAAUGCGUAGAUAUUAGGAGGAACACCAGUGGCGAAGGCGGCUUACUGGACGAUAACUGACGCUGAGGCUCGAAAGCGUGGGGAGCAAACAGGAUUAGAUACCCUGGUAGUCCACGCCGUAAACG
rnacentral:rRNA from 1 species